ACAGGUCCCAGCGUGGAAGGCACCUAUAUUCACCAGUGGGGAAGAAAAAAGGGCAAAAAGUAAAAAUGGAUCAGUUAAUAUGUAUCAUCUUGACAUUUGGUUAAUACUCUUAUAUGUCUAAUAUGAUCCUAGCAAAGCAAAUAAUAAUUUGCAGAAGCAACACUUGGUGAAGACAAUAAAUCAAAUUAAAGAAAGCUCUCGAUCAAAAUUUCAUCAAUGCAUAAG
rnacentral:misc_RNA from 1 species